UACGUAGGGUGCGAGCGUUAAUCGGAAUUACUGGGCGUAAAGCGUGCGCAGGCGGUUGUGCAAGACAGAUGUGAAAUCCCCGGGCUCAACCUGGGAACUGCAUUUGUGACUGCACAGCUUGAGUGUGUCAGAGGGGGGUAGAAUUCCACGUGUAGCAGUGAAAUGCGUAGAGAUGUGGAGGAAUACCGAUGGCGAAGGCAGCCCCCUGGGAUAACACUGACGCUCAUGCACGAAAGCGUGGGGAGCAAACAGG
rnacentral:rRNA from 1 species